AUGCAAAAUAUGUAAACAUUAUUAAAGUGACUUGUGUUCUAUUAUUAAAGUGCCUGGUGAUGUCAAGUCUAUGUAUAUAGGCCAGAAACCUCUAAGGCGCUGGUGAUGGCUAUUUAACAGUCUGAUGGCCUUGAGAUAGAAGCUGUUUUCCAGUUUCUCGGUCCCAGUUUGAUGCAUCUGGAUUUUUGUUCACCUUUUCCACAGGCAAGCAACAUGUCAUUUGCCAGUCUGUCCAGAGGAAAGAAGGUGGCCCUAUCAUCAUUGGGUGUGUUGACCGCAGUAGGGGCCAGUAUUGCUCUGAUGCUUCACCAGUCUGUGAAAUCUUCAGAUCGGGUGCUUCGUCCACCAUCUUAUCCAUGGACUUACAGUAGCAUGCUUUCAUCUCUUGAUCAUGCCAGGUUACUUCACCUCCUUUAUGUUAUUAUCACAUGUGAGAGGAUGUUAAAAACAUGUUGGAUUUGUUUUGUUUUACAGUAUUUGAUGUGGAUAUCAGGUGUAAAAGCAGGUGUGUUCUGCCUGUCAGUAUGGAAUGCAUGGCCUUCUGAAAUCUUGUAGGAGUCUCCCACAUAGAGACUGAAGUCAAGUUGCUUGCUGAAGAGGCACCCCAGCCACUAUGAGCCAGGUGAUGGGCAGCGGACCCUAAGCACGAUCAGAGGAAGCAAAUGGGAUUGAAGCUAUUCCUGGAGUCUGCAAUCUUGGUACCAUUGGUCUUUUACAUGAAGAGAGACAGGUGGUGGGACCAAAAUAAGACAACUUCAUCCAAUGCUUUUGAUCCCUCUGGUGGCAAUGCUGCACUUUUGAUUGACUACGGAAAGACUCCUCACUUCAGAAUUAUUCACUUUAUUCCUGUUUCUUUAAUCUACCCCCCAUUUCAUCCGCUGAUAUUUAGCUAAGUAUUUCACCCACUGAUAUUUAGUUUAGUAUUUGUCUUUUUUUUUUUUUUUUACUGUGAUCAAUAAUUUCAAGCAGUUUUUCCAUCACUGAUAAUGACUCCUUUUAGGUCAGGAUUCCUGAUCGACAGCACUAAAUCAACGUGGGACAGGUGUUAGAAAAACUGGUCCAUAAAUUCAAUUCAAUUCAAUUGACUUUAUUGACAUGGCAAGUUCAUUAUUACUUACAU